AUACGGAGGGUCCAAGCGUUAUCCGGAAUCAUUGGGUUUAAAGGGUCCGCAGGCGGUCAAUUAAGUCAGAGGUGAAAGCCCAUCGCUCAACGAUGGAACUGCCUUUGAUACUGGUUGACUUGAGUUAUACGGAAGAAGAUAGAAUAAGUAGUGUAGCGGUGAAAUGCAUAGAUAUUACUUAGAAUACCGAUUGCGAAGGCAGUCUACUACGUAUAUACUGACGCUGAGGGACGAAAGCGUGGGGAGCGAACAGGAUUAGAUACCCUAGUAGUCC
rnacentral:rRNA from 1 species